GCGAGAACAGAGGUGGCCGGGUGACAGGAAGGACUUGAAGGUCACUGUUCACAUGAAGUUUGCACUGAAAGCACGUGAUGGGGGACUGGACUCUGACUCCGAGUCAUGUCGUCCCCACCACGGUCCUGUCCACACCUCCCCUCCUGUGCUCACAGCUGCUCCCAUCUGGCUGACUCUCCCGGCCCUGGAUGGCACAGGUGACACACAGCUCUGGAGGAGAGCCGUUCCCGGUGUCUGCUCCUGGGGGAAUUCCCCGGCAUGGAGAGGCACUUAGACAAGCCUUCGGCCAGGAGCUCUGAUGGCCUCUGCACGGGGUGGCGCUAUGGUGCUGGCUGCUGGGACACCCCAGGAAGGAGCUACGGCCUCUGUGCACAGCGUCACUGCCUUUGUGGUAAGAUUGCAGAGGAACCUGCCCACUACGUGGACACCAUUUACUGAGAGAACUGCUUGGGUGUUUCUUGGUCUCACAGAAUCUGAGGCUCCAUGUUACGUCGCCAUUUCGGCUCACAUUCUGAGUUACUGUGUGCACUGUACGUGUGAGUAAGUCUACGUGUUUUUGUAUAUUCUGUAUAACACCACUUUUAAAGGACGUGCUGAGGAGUGAGCCCAGGCCUUCUGCAUGCUGGGCACGCACACCACCGACUCGCUGUCCCCAGACCUCCUUACCUCUUCCUGAGGCUCGGGUGCCGCGAUGCUGUUUUCUCCUGGGUCCGCACAGAGGUUAAAAAAAAAAGGAUCUGAAGGGCGUCAUGACUUGCUGGCCAGAAAGUCAGGUCUUUGGUUCUGGAUUUUGUUCCCUGGACCAGACACACCUUGCGAUUGUGACCUGUGUGGCCGCUCCUGCACACGAGGGAGUCUUCCAAGCACUCCGGUCACUUUGAGACCGUCUUCAGGACCACGCUGCAGCGCUCACUCGUCACAGUAAACGAUGCAGGACGUGGCCCCUGCCACCCCGGAUGACAGAGCCCCACAACUGCCCACCCUGGAUGACAGAGCCCCACAACUGCCCACCCCGGAUGACAGAGCCCCACAACGGCCCACCCUGAAUGCUAACCUGGAUCCUGUCUCAGACAAAGGAGUCUCCCAAGGAAGCCUGGCCAAACUGCAGUAGGGCCCCAGGGAUGAACUCCAGCUUUCAGGGCAAGUGCUUUACCUGCCCGUCCAUCUUGUCAGCCCAGUUCUCUUCAUUACGCUGUCCUCUCCGUCCGCGGGGUCAGAGGUCAGCAUUUCUCCUGUUGCAGAGACAAACUCACUCUCACUGGUCACAGAGAGAGUCGAGGGGCUGGUAGGCGAGGUCACAGGGCUGGAGGCUGUGGAGGUUCGAAC